UAUCAUAUCUCCCCAGAAUGACCAGCAUGUUCCUUCUGGUUAUAUUCCUUGGCACCAUUGAUCUCAGCCUCCAGCAGUUGCAAAGCCUGAAGGACACAGAAUCGGUGACACUUGGUGGGACGGUCACCAUAUCUUGCAGAUACAGUCUUGGAAGCAUUUCUGACAGCAAUUACCCUUGGUGGGCCCAGCAAAAACUAGGGAAACCACCCCAGACUGUGAUUUAUCACACCAGUAUCAAACCGUCUGAUGUGCCAGCCCGUUUCUCCGGGUCCAUCUCAGGAAAUGUGAUGUCCCUGACCAUAACAGGGGCCUUGGCAGAAGAUGAAGCUUUCUAUUACUGCUGCUUAAACCCAGGGGGUUCAUGGCACAGUCAUUCACUGCAGUGUGGAAGCAAGACAAAACCUCUCCCUUUCUUUGCUCUCUUCAAGCAUCGUUAG